UACACUGAAUGUGGAGGACAAAAAAUUUUUCUUAAAGGAUAAAAUCAUGAGGCCCACCGAGCCAUGAGCCCUUGGCUACAACAAGCCUCAUCCGGAUGUGGCUCAUACCUAGGGGUGCAAGUGGGUCGAUUCGGGUCGGGUCAUGAGUGAUCUCGAUCCAAUCCGAUUUUUUGAUCGAAUAUGCAUAUUGGAUCUAAACCCAGCCCAAUAAAAGAUCGAAUCAGAUUGGAUCAGAUCCAUGAUUAAAUUUUUUGACCCAACAGAUCAUUCGGAUCGGAUCAAAUCCAUGAUCAAAUUUUUUGACCUAAUAGAUCAUUC
rnacentral:lncRNA from 1 species